rnacentral:rRNA from 1 species
CAGUACCGCUAAUCCACCUUAACCUAUGGACGGAAAUACCCUCGGAAAACUGAGAAUAAUGACCAAAAAAACUUUAUGCCGGGAAUGUUUUAUGUUCAAAAUGAUUUACCGCCGAAGGAGGGGACGGCGGCCUAUCAUUUGGUGGGGGAGGUAAGGGCCCACAAAAAUUAUAACAGGUACGGGUUCUAAAAGAAGUACCCCGAAGAUGGUUACUGAAACACGCACCCAGGCCCUAGGGGGCGCAGCAGGAAAAAAAAUUUUGCAUGGUGCAAAAGCACAACAAGGUUAAUCCGAGUGUUUCCUGCUAAAGGAACUUUUUGUCGGUCCAAAAAACACUAAUAAAUAAGGGGUGGGCAAUUUCUGUUGCCACCCGCCGCGAAAAAACCACCACCUCAGGUGG